ensembl:lncRNA
GGAUAGAUAAUGUGCAUAUUCAAUACCUCUGGUUAUUGUCCCAGAGGCAUAUGUUGCAUAGUACAUAGACUUUUGGGAGAGGACUGGAGUUUAAAUUUUAAAUUAAAUCACAUUACUUAUGUGAUUUUAGGAAAGUUACUUAAGAUUGCUAAGUCUUAUAUUCUUUCACUGUGAUGUAGUGAUAAUAAUAGAACAUAAUAUCAUAUAAUUAUUUAUAAUAUGAUAUAAUUAUUUUGCAAAUUAAAUGGAAGUACAUAAUUAGUGCUUUGUAAAUAUUAAAGUGCCAAAUAAAUUCUAACUAUUAUUUUAUAUGUAUCUAUACUUGUCUUUUAUACAACUUACGACGUUCUAACCUUCUAAAAGAUAGUAAAAACUUGAUUGAUAACCAUGAUUUCAGAAAUUAUGAAUUAUUGAGGAAUAUAAGUGAUAUUCAAUGAGUCAUGUCUCUUGGGAUGAUUGUUCACAAAUCAAGUAAAUUUAUGAAGAAAAACCUGUCAUGAAUUUGAGGCCAGUCAUGUAUGUACAUUUGUUUUGUCACUGCAUUGUAGCAUCUUCCAGGAUGGAACGCAUUAGAUAAUGCUAAAAAUAUCUAGGCACCUGUUUAUGGACAUUUUGAUGUACUGAUAAAAUGUUAAUAUAAUAUAUGAAGCCUAAUAGUAAAAAAAAUUACUAUAAAAUUAAAUUAUUGCAAAUGUAAAAAUUACAUUAAAAUGAAUGUGAGUCUUCUUUCUCAGUUGGGAGGUGGAUUUUUGAGCAAGGGCUGCAGUUUGUUAUUGUUGUUGUUAUUGCUAUUUGACUCCUAGUAAUUCAUAAUUCUUAGAACAUAGCAAAUAUUCAAUAGUAUUAUUGUUUCACUAUGCAACUAAUCUAUAUACUUUUAUUUUAUUAAAUCCUAACCCUUAGCAUUUUGUUCCUAAUAUUUGAGAUUGAAGUUUCACAUGUUAAAUUAUAGGCAUACUACUUGCCUCUUAUGGUAGCUAUAAAACAGUCAGUGAGGAGUAAUAGUUUGCAUAAGAAAUUGGGAUUUUGUACCCAUGAUAUGAAUCACAGAGGGCUUUAUUGUAUCUAUUUCUUGAUGCAGCCUUUGAUGUCAUCUUCCCACAUUAUAAUACUUUAUGAAUUCAAUCUGAUAUAUUGUGAAUGGCCAUCCUAUAGGUGACAGACAUGUUUCUAUCUUCUUGAUUCUACAAUGAAACCCUUAUAUGCAUCAGAUUGUGACUUCUGUGUCAGGGAUAAUUUUAUAAUGUGCAUAUUCAAUACUUCUGGUUAUUGUCCAAGAGGCAUUUGUUGCAUAGUACAUAGACUUUGGGGAGAGGACUGGAGUUUAAAUUUUAAAUUAAAUCAUAUUACUUAUGUGAUUUUAGGAAAGUUUCUUAAGAUUGCUGUCUUAUUUUCUUUUACUGUGAUGUAGUGAUAAUAAUAGAACGUAUUAUGAUAUAAUUAUCUAUAAUAUAAUAUGAUUAUUUUUCAAAUUAAAUGGAAGUACAUAUUUGGUGCUUUGUAAAUAUUAAAGUGCUAAAUAAAUUCUAACUAUUAUUUUAUAUGUAUUGAUAUUUGUCUUUUAUACAAAUUACUACCUUGUACUCUCUAUAAGAUAGGAAAGUACUUGAUUGAUAACCACGAUUUCAAAAAUUAUGAAAUAUUGAUGAAUAUAAAUGAUAUUCAUUGAGUCAUGUCUCUUGGAAUGAUUGUCAACAAAUCAAGUAAAUUUAUGAAGAAAAGCAUGUCAUGAAUUUGAGGAUGGUCAUGUAAGAUCAUUUGUUUUGUCACUGCACUGAAGCAUCUUCCAGGAUGUAACUGUUUAGCUAAUGCUAAAAAUAUCAGACACCUGUUCAUGGACAUUUUGAUGUACUGAUAAUAUGUUAAUAUAAUAUAUUAAGCCUAACAUUAAAAAAAUUUACUAUUAAAUUAAAUUAUUGCAAAUGUAAAAAUUACAUUAAAAAUGAAUGUGAGUCAAUUUUCUCAGUUGGGAGGUGGAUUUGUGAGCAAGGACUGCAGCUUGUUAUCGUUGUUCUUAUUACUAUUUGACUCCUAGUCAUUAGCAUAAUUCUUAGAACAUAGCAAAUAUUUAAUAGUAUUAUUUUUUCACUAUUCAAAUACACUAUGUACUUUUAUUUUAUUAAAUCCUGACCCUUAGCGUUUUGUUCCUUAUAUUUGAGAUUGAAGUUUCUCUUGCUAAAUUAUAGACAUACUGCUUGCCUCUUAUGGUAGCUACAAAACAGUCAGUGAGGAGUAAUAGUUUGCAUAAGAAAUUGGGAUUAUAUACCCAUGAUAUGAAUCACAGAGGGCUUUAAUGUAUCUAUUUCUAUACCCAGCCAUUGAUGUCAUUUUCCCAUGUUAUAAUACUUUAUGAAUUCAAUCUGAAAUAUUGUGAAUGGCCAUCCUAUAGGUGACAGACAUGUUUCUAUCUGAUUGAUUCUACAAUGAAACCCUUAUAUGCAUCAGAUUUUGACUUUUGCGUCAGGGAUAAUUUUAAAAUGUGCAUAUUCAAUACCUCUGGUUAUUGUCCCAGAGGCAUAUGUUGCAUAGUACAUAGACUUUUGGGAGAGGACUGGAGUUUAAAUUUUAAAUUAAAACACAUUACUUAUGUGAUUUUAGGAAAGUUACUUAAGAUUGCUAAGUCUUAUAUUCUUUCACUGUGAUGUAGUGAUAAUAAUAGAACAUAAUAUCAUAUAAUUAUUUAUAAUAUGAUAUAAAUAUUUUGCAAAUUAAAAGGAAGUACAUAAUUAGUGCUUUGUAAAUAUUAAAGUGCCAAAUAAUUUCUAACUAUGAUUUUAUAAGUAUCUAUACUUGUCUUUUAUACAACUUACAACGUUCUAACCUUCUAAAAGAUAGUAAAAACUUGAUUGAUAACCAAGAUUUCAGAAAUUAUGAUUUAUUGAUGAAUAUAAGUGAUAUUCAAUGAGUCAUGUCUCUUGGGAUGAUUGUCCACAAACCAAGAAAAUUUAUGAAGAAAAACAUGUCAUGAAUUUGAGGAUGGUCAUGUAUGUUCAUUUGUUUUGUCACUGCAUUGUAGCAUCUUCCAGGAUGGAACUCUUUAGCUAAUGCUAAAAAUAUCUAGCCACCUGUUUAUGGACAUUUUGAUGUACUGAUAAAAUGUUAAUAUAAUAUAUGAAGCCUAACAGUAAAAAAAAAUUACUAUAAAAUUAAAUUAUUGCAAAGGUAAAAAUUACAGUAAAAUGAAUGUGAGUCAUCUUUCUCAGUUGGGAGGUGGAUUUGUGAGCAAGGACUGCAGCUUGUUAUUGUUGUUGUUAUUACUAUUUGACACCUAGUAAUUCAUAAUUCUUAGAACAUAGAAAAUAUUCAAUAGUAUUAUUGUUUCACUAUUCAAAUAAACUAUGUACUUUUAUUUUAUUAAAUCCUAACCCUUAGCGUUUUGUUCCUUAUGUUUGAGAUUGAAGUUUCUCAUGUUAAAUUAUAGGCAUAUUACUUGCCUCUCAUGGUAGCUACAAAACAGUCAGUGUGGAGUAAAUUUUGCAUAUGAAAUUGGGAUUAUGUAGCCAUGAUAUGAAUCACACAGGGCUUUAUUGUAUCUAUUUCUUGAUCCAGCCAUUGAUGUCAUCUUCCCACAUUAUAAUACUUUAUGAAUUCAAUCUGAAAUAUUGUGAAUGGCCAUCCUAUAGGUGACAGACAUGUUUCUAUCUUAUUGAUUCUACAAUGAAAUCCUUAUAUGCAUCAGACUGUGACUUCUGUGUCAGGGAUAAUUUUAUAAUGUGCAUAUUCAGUACCUUGGGUUAAAGUCCCAGAGGUAUGUGUUGCAUAGUAGAUAGAUUUUGGGAGAGGACUAGAGUUUAAAUUUUAAAUUAAAUCACAUUACUCAUGUGAUUUUAGGAAAGUUAUUUAAGAUUGCUAAGUCUUAUUUUCUCUCACGAUUGUGUAGUGAUAAUAAUAGAACAUAAUAUGAUAUAAUUAUAUAUAAUAUGAUAUAAUUAUUUUGAAAAUUAAAUGGAAGUACAUAUUUAGUGCUUUGUAAAUAUGAAAGUGCUAAAUAAAUUCUAACUAUUAUUUUAUAUGUAUCGAUACUUGUCUUUUAUACAACUUACAACCUUCUAACCUUUUAUAAGAUAGGAAAGUACUUGAUUGAUAACCAUGAUUUCACAAAUUAUGAAUUAUUGAUGAAUAUAAAUGAUAUUCAAUGAGUCUUGACUCUUGGGAUGAUUGUCAACAAAUCAAGUAAAUUUAUGAAGAAAAAACAUGUCAUGAAUUUGAGGAUGGUCAUGUAUGAUCAUUUGUUUUGUCACAGCACUGUAGCAUCUUCCAGGAUGUAACUGUUUAGCUAAUGCUAAAAAUAACUAGACACCUGUUCAUGGACAUUUUGAUGUACUGAUAAUAUGUUAAAAAUAUAUUAAGCCUAAAAGUAUAAAAAUUACUAUUAAAUUAAAUUAUUGCAAAUGUAAAAAUUACAUUAAAAAUUAAUGUGAGUCAUUUUCUCAGUUGGGAGGUGGAUUUGAGAGCAAGGACUGCAGCUUGUUAGUGUUGUUGUUAUUGCUAUCUGACUCCUAGUAAUUAGUAUAAUUCUUAGAACAUAGCAAAUAUUUAAUAGUAUUAUUGUUUCACUAUUCAACUAAACUAUGUACUUUUAUUUUAUUAAAUCCUAACCCUUAGCGUUUUGUUCCUUAUAUUUGAGAUUGAAGUUUCUCAUGUUAAAUUAGAGGCUUAGUACUUGCCUCUUUUGGUAGCUAUAAAACAGUCAGUGAGGAGUAAUAGUGUGCAUAAGAAAUUGGGAUUAUGUACCCAUGAUAUGAAUCACAGAGGGCUUUAUUGUAUCUAAUUCUUGAUCCAGCCAUUGAUGUCAUCUUCCCACAUUAUAAUACUUUAUGAAUUCAAUCUGAAAUAUUGUGAAUGGCAUCCUAUAGGUGACAGACAUGUUUCUUUCUGAUUGAUUCUACAAUGAAACCCUUAUAUGCAUCAGAUUGUUACUUCUGUGUCAGGGAUAAUUUUAUAAUGUGCAUAUUCAGUACCUCUGGUUUUAGUCCCACAGGUAUUUGUUGCAUAGUAGAUAGACUUUUGGGAGAGGACUAGAGUUUAAAUUUGCUUUGGACACAUUAAUUAUGUGAUUUUAGGAAAGUUACUUAAGAUUGCUAAUUCUUAUUUUCUUUCACUAUGAUGUAGUAAUAAUAAUAGAACAUAAUAUGAUGUAAUUAUGUAUAAUAUAUUUUGCAAAUUAAAUGGAAGUACACAUUUAGUGCUUUAUAAAUAUUGAAGUGCUAAGGAAAUUCUAACUAUUAUUUUAUAUGUAUCGAUACUUGUCUUUUAUACAACUAACUACCUUCUAACCUUCUAUAAGAUAAUAAAAAACUUGAUUGAUAACCAUGAUUUCAUAAAUUAUGAAUUACUGAUGAAUAUAAAUGAUAUUCAAUGAGUCAUGUCUCUUGGGAUGAUUGUCUACAAAUCAAGUAAAUUUAUGAAGAAAAACAUGUCAUGAAUGUGAGGAUGGUCAUGUAUGAUCAUUUGUUUUUUCACUGCAUUUUAGCAUCUUCCAGGAUGGAACUCUUUAGCUAAUCCUAAAAAAAAUCUUGA